rnacentral:lncRNA from 1 species
GCUCUGUGCCGCCCUCCACGGCCCGUGCUCUGUGUGCCGCCCUCCACGGCCUGUGCUCUGUGUGCCCCCCACGGCCCGUGCUCUGUGUGCCGCCCUCCACAGGCCGUGCUCUGUGCCCCGCCGCCUACGGCCGUGAUCUGUGUGCCGCCCACCACCGCCGUGCUCUGUGUGCCCUCAAUGGUUUUUGCUCUGAGCCGGCCUCCAAGAUGAGAAGACUGAGGGCACCUUUAUCCUUUACUGCGUUUUAAGUUUUUUUUUUUUUUUUUUUUUUGAGAGGCCUCCUGGACCGAGCUCUGUGAAACAAAAGGCUUCCUUUCCGGUGCCCUCCCCUCCCGUGGUGGGUGCUGCCGCGCCCUCUGGAUGAGGCGAAGGGGACCUCUUGGCCCCUCCCCUGACCGCCCGCUGCAGCGCCCUCCGGAGGCGGCGCAGUGUACCUCUUGGCCGCUGCGCGCACGGCCUGAUGCAGCGACCUCUGGAGGCAGCGCAGUGGACCUCUUGUCCGCAGCGCUGGAGCUCCUGUCCGCAGCGCGCACGUCCUGCUGCAGCCCAGACGGGAAACCUUUAGAGACUCAGGCGGCUCCCUCUCUCUGUAAAGAUUUAUUUUGGAGGUCAGAGUUAGAGAUCUUCCAUCUGCUUGUUCACUCGCCAGAUGGCCCCAGGGCUGGGCCAGGCCAAAGCCAGAAAGGAGCUUCAUCUGGGUCUCCAUUGUGGGUGACGGGGGCCCAGACACUUGGGCCAGCCUCGUCUGCCUUCCCAGGACAUUAGCAGGGAGCAGCCAGGCCACGAACCGGUGCCCAUUUGGGAUGCCAUUGCCACGGGCAGCAGCUUAACCGGCUCUGUGGCAGCGCGGGCCCCUAGAGGCUUCGUUCUUGACAGCUGGAUUGGACCAGGUCUGCCUGCUCAGGCUGUGCCUCCCCUGCCCCGUGUGCAGCUCUGUCACCAUUCCUUACGUUGUUGCUGGUUCUGCUGCCAGAGCUCCUUAACAUGGAAGCCACAUGGUGCUGUGCUCCCGCCCCGGGCAGCGUGCGUCAGAGGGAGGGUCUCAGCCGAGGGAGGGCACGGGCUGCCCCUGCAGACUUUGACCUUGCGGCCUCUCUGCCCUCCCCCCCAGUUUAGACUCUGAGGUGACCUUUGCCCUCUGGCCUCGUUCUGGCUUCUGGUUCCGUCCUCACUGUGUCUCUGCCUGCCACGCUGAGCUCCAGCCGGGACCUUGGUGCUUGGUCUCCCCUGGAGUGCCCUUUCCACCUUGCCUGCCUGCCUGCGUGUGAAGGCUCGGCUCAGCUGCUCCGUCCCGAGGGCCAGGACGGCCUGCACCGUGCCCGCCUGUCCCUGCGCGCCCGGGUUCGGUCUGUGCGACCCUCUCAUGGCGGUCCUCGCUGGGUGGUGGGCUCCCGUGAGGAAGGAGCAGCACCUGCCCUCUGUGCUGGCGUCUCCGUGGUUCUCUCUUGCGCAGUGCCCGGGGUUGGCUCGGAUCACUUUGCGGUCUGGUUUCACGGGCUCCUUGUGUAGGUGCUCCGUCAGGGCCGGCUUCUGGCCGCCACGUGGGCAGGUAAGAACACGAGUGGGGGCCCUUGGUUGAUCUGUGAGUGCUGCUGUCACGACGGUGCCUGCGGGGGGAGUCCUGGGUGCGUGAAGGAGAGGAUGUGCUGCACUCAGGCUCCCCGGGGGUCGGACAGGGCUUCUGCACAGACAGGCGCUGAGUGAUGCCGGAGUCACGCAGGCCCACCCGUAAGUGAACGGGACUUUUGCGUGUGGUUAAAGUCAG